CUAACAAGGAUUCCCCUAGUAACGGCGAGUGAAGAGGGAAAAGCUCAAAUUUUAAAUCUACCUGGUUCUUCUAGGUCGAAUUGUAAUUUGAAGAAACGAUAUCUUAUUUUGAGGUCUGGUUUAAGUCUUUUGGAACAAGACAUCAUGGAGGGUGAGAAUCCCGUGCAUGAUCAGACCGAAAUUUAUUAAUAUUCGUUUUCUAAGAGUCGAGUUGUUUGGGAAUGCAGCUCAAAAUGGGUGGUAGACUUCACCUAAGGCUAAAUAUCAGCGAGAGACCGAUAGCGAACAAGUACUGUGAAGGAAAGAUGAAAAGAACUUUGAAAAGAGAGUUAAAUAGUACGUGAAAUUGUUGAAAGGGAAACGAUUGAAGUCAGUCAUGCCAGUGAAAAAUCAGUUUAACGGAUUUUUGGUUCGGAGUAGGAGGCAGGGUCAAACCGUCUCUCUUUUGAACUUGAAAUUUGUUAAAUGUACUUUUUCUUUGGCAGGUCAGUGUCGAUUUCGAAGGUUGUAAAGUAACUGGGGGAAAGUAGCUCUGCUUCGGGAGAGUGUUAUAGACUCUGGGGGAUGCAGCCUGCGGGAUCGAGGAUUGCAGCAAAUGCUAUUUGGCUUGUCGCCUGAUCUCUGGACGUUACCUCAUUUGUGACAAUAUUUUUGACACCGGUGGGUACUAAUGGCCAAUAGGUUAGAGCGAUCAAAAAUUUUGCUAAGGAUGC
rnacentral:rRNA from 1 species